AAAAACAAAAAAAAGAGUUUGGAUCGAAGUUCGAUCCAAAAGAUCGAGAAGAGAAAACUUUUUUGUUUUCAGGACAAACAAACAUGACGUUCUUGAUGAUACAACUGCUUGAGGUCUAUCCUUGAAGCAUCAACACAUGGCAUGAAGUAGCACAGCGUCUUAUUAUACCUAAUGACAGGAAGCCUUAUAUCAUGUCAAUGCAGGUCGAUAUAAUUGUAAUAAUUCUAUCAGAGGAUAGCGAAGAUUCAAAGAAUGGGAGCUCUCAUGAAUGGUU